rnacentral:rRNA from 2 species
CUGGUAUUGAUUGGUGCUUGCAUCAUGAUUUACAUUUGAGUGAGUGGCGAACUGGUGAGUAACACGUGGGAAACCUGCCCAGAAGCGGGGGAUAACACCUGGAAACAGAUGCUAAUACCGCAUAACAACUUGGACCGCAUGGUCCGAGCUUGAAAGAUGGCUUCGGCUAUCACUUUUGGAUGGUCCCGCGGCGUAUUAGCUAGAUGGUGGGGUAACGGCUCACCAUGGCAAUGAUACGUAGCCGACCUGAGAGGGUAAUCGGCCACAUUGGGACUGAGACACGGCCCAAACUCCUACGGGAGGCAGCAGUAGGGAAUCUUCCACAAUGGACGAAAGUCUGAUGGAGCAACGCCGCGUGAGUGAAGAAGGGUUUCGGCUCGUAAAACUCUGUUGUUAAAGAAGAACAUAUCUGAGAGUAACUGUUCAGGUAUUGACGGUAUUUAACCAGAAAGCCACGGCUAACUACGUGCCAGCAGCCGCGGUAAUACGUAGGUGGCAAGCGUUGUCCGGAUUUAUUGGGCGUAAAGCGAGCGCAGGCGGUUUUUUAAGUCUGAUGUGAAAGCCUUCGGCUCAACCGAAGAAGUGCAUCGGAAACUGGGAAACUUGAGUGCAGAAGAGGACAGUGGAACUCCAUGUGUAGCGGUGAAAUGCGUAGAUAUAUGGAAGAACACCAGUGGCGAAGGCGGCUGUCUGGUCUGUAACUGACGCUGAGGCUCGAAAGUAUGGGUAGCAAACAGGAUUAGAUACCCUGGUAGUCCAUACCGUAAACGAUGAAUGCUAAGUGUUGGAGGGUUUCCGCCCUUCAGUGCUGCAGCUAACGCAUUAAGCAUUCCGCCUGGGGAGUACGGCCGCAAGGCUGAAACUCAAAGGAAUUGACGGGGGCCCGCACAAGCGGUGGAGCAUGUGGUUUAAUUCGAAGCUACGCGAAGAACCUUACCAGGUCUUGACAUACUAUGCAAAUCUAAGAGAUUAGACGUUCCCUUCGGGGACAUGGAUACAGGUGGUGCAUGGUUGUCGUCAGCUCGUGUCGUGAGAUGUUGGGUUAAGUCCCGCAACGAGCGCAACCCUUAUUAUCAGUUGCCAGCAUUAAGUUGGGCACUCUGGUGAGACUGCCGGUGACAAACCGGAGGAAGGUGGGGAUGACGUCAAAUCAUCAUGCCCCUUAUGACCUGGGCUACACACGUGCUACAAUGGAUGGUACAACGAGUUGCGAACUCGCGAGAGUAAGCUAAUCUCUUAAAGCCAUUCUCAGUUCGGAUUGUAGGCUGCAACUCGCCUACAUGAAGUCGGAAUCGCUAGUAAUCGCGGAUCAGCAUGCCGCGGUGAAUACGUUCCCGGGCCUUGUACACACCGCCCGUCACACCAUGAGAGUUUGUAACACCCAAAGUCGGUGGGGUAACCUUUUAGGAAC